AACCUUACCAAAUCUUGACAUCCUUUGACAACUCUAGAGAUAGAGCCUUCCCCUUCGGGGGACAAAGUGACAGGUGGUGCAUGGUUGUCGUCAGCUCGUGUCGUGAGAUGUUGGGUUAAGUCCCGCAACGAGCGCAACCCUUAAGCUUAGUUGCCAUCAUUAAGUUGGGCACUCUAAGUUGACUGCCGGUGACAAACCGGAGGAAGGUGGGGAUGACGUCAAAUCAUCAUGCCCCUUAUGAUUUGGGAUACACACGUGCUACAAUGGACAAUACAAAGGGCAGCGAAACCGCGAGGUCAAGCAAAUCCCAUAAAGUUGUCCUCAGUUCGGAUUGUAGUCUGCAACUCGACUACAUUAAGCUGGAA
rnacentral:rRNA from 1 species